AAGUUUGAUCAUGGCUCAGAUUGAACGCUGGCGGCAGGCCUAACACAUCCAAGUCGAACGGUAACAGAAAGCAGCUGCUGCUUUGCUGACGAGUGGCGGACGGGUGAGUAAUGUCUGGGAAACUGCCUGAUGGAGGGGGAUAACUACUGGAACGGUAGCUAAUACCGCAUAACGUCGCAAGACCAAAGAGGGGGACCUUCGGGCCUCUUGCCAUCGGAUGUGCCCAGAUGGAGAUUAGCUAGUAGUGGCGGUACGGCUACACCUAGGCGACGAUCCCUAGCUGGUCUGAGAGGAUUGACCAGCCACACUGGAACUGAGACACGGUCCAGACUCCUACGGGAGGCACAGUAGGGAAUAUUGCACAAUGGGCGCAAGCCUGAUGCAGCCAUGCCGCGUGUAUGAAGAAGGCCUUCGGGUUGUAAAGUACUUU
rnacentral:rRNA from 1 species